AGAGUUUGAUCAUGGCUCAGGAUGAACGCUGGCGGCGUGCCUAAUACAUGCAAGUCGAGCGAACAGACGAGGAGCUUGCUCCUCUGACGUUAGCGGCGGACGGGUGAGUAACACGUGGAUAACCCACCUAUAAGACUGGGAUAACUUCGGGAAACCGGAGCUAAUACCGGAUAAUAUAUUGAACCGCAUGGUUCAAUAGUGAAAGACGGUUUUGCUGUCACUUAUAGAUGGAUCCGCGCCGCAUUAGCUAGUUGGUAAGGUAAACGGCUUACCCAAGGCAACGAUGCGGUAGCCGACCUGAGAGGGUGAUCGGCCACACUGGAACUGAGACACGGUCCAGACUCCUACGGGAGGCAGCAGUAGGGAAUCUUCCGCAAUGGGCGAAAGCCUGACGGAGCAACGCCGCGUGAGUGAUGAAGGUCUUCGGAUCGUAAAACUCUGUUAUUAGGGAAGAACAAAUGUGUAAGUAACUAUGCACGUCUUGACGGUACCUAAUCAGAAAGCCACGGCUAACUACGUGCCAGCAGCCGCGGUAAUACGUAGGUGGCAAGCGUUAUCCGGAAUUAUUGGGCGUAAAGCGCGCGUAGGCGGUUUUUUAMGUCUGAUGUGAAAGCCCACGGCUCAACCGUGGAGGGUCAUUGGAAACUGGAAAACUUGAGUGCAGAAGAGGAAAGUGGAAUUCCAUGUGUAGCGGUGAAAUGCGCAGAGAUAUGGAGGAACACCAGUGGCGAAGGCGACUUUCUGGUCUGUAACUGACGCUGAUGUGCGAAAGCGUGGGGAUCAAACAGGAUUAGAUACCCUGGUAGUCCACGCCGUAAACGAUGAGUGCUAAGUGUUAGGGGGUUUCCGCCCCUUAGUGCUGCAGCUAACGCAUUAAGCACUCCGCCUGGGGAGUACGACCGCAAGGUUGAAACUCAAAGGAAUUGACGGGGGCCCGCACAAG
rnacentral:rRNA from 1 species